UAAGUUUGAGGCCAGCCUCAGCAAUGCAGUGAGAUCUGUCUCAAAAUAAAAUAAAAAGGGCUGGAAGUGUAGCUCAGUGAUAGAGCGCUUGCCUAGCAGGCAGGUGACCCUGAGUUCACCCCCCAUUUGGGUGGUGGGGUUGGGGGACACCAUUAGGACCCAUGCAGAAGCCAAGAGACAGGGUGGGAAGGGGAUCAGAAGGACCACAGAGGAGGAACUAGGUAGAAGCAAGGUGUGAAGAGAACACUGCCCUGAGAGUCAGGAGGCCUCAGCUUCCCACUUGCUCCAUUUCUGAGCUGCCCUGAGAACCUGGUUGCUUUGGGAAGUCUUUGAACAUAGGCGUUGAGUUUUUUGAAAAUUGCUACACAAAGGUAAAGUCUUCUUGAGCCUGGCCAUCAGGAAGUAUUUCAUAGUUAUUGUAUCUCUGCAAACAGAUUGCUCCAAGGGAGAGGGGAGGUCAGCUGGUGUUCUCUACCCUGGUCCCUGACAUUCUUCAGAUGAGGCCCAACAAGCAAACUUCUCCACCCCGUCUCUUAAGAGGCCAAUGCUAAGAGAGGUGGCAAGGGAAGCACUGCCCCCAGACUGAGCAAGUCACAGGCCAGAACAUGGCUCCCAGGGGCCCAGCUCCACCCUGCCUGGAGGGGCGAACUGCAGCACAUCCUUUGGAAAAUCUGAUGAUGGCCCUGGAGUCCCUUCUCAGAAAAUGCAGCACGCCUAACACUGUGCACACGACUUCAGAGGGGUGUGGAGCCCAUGUUAAGAAUCCUUGCUCUGCAUUUCUUGAGUGACGUCACAAGUCUAACGCAGCAAGUCCAAGGACACACAGAAGUUCCUAUGAUGUGGAAUCUCCUAUGCUCUGGCUGCUUCCUGAGAACCUUGUUCUUGGAACCUGGGAAAGAGGCAGCAUUGAUGGAGUUCACUCUCCCCUCUGCCUGGCCUAUGCUCCCCCUCCCUGAUGCUAGGGACACUUGGUCCUUGUAUCUGUGUCACUGUGGAGGAGCAUGCCCUAAGGUAGAGUGAAGGGAGAGUUGCUGGGAACAAUGACACCCUCUGCCCUUCUUAGGAAAAGAGAAGCUCGGGAACUGGAACAUGUAUGAGUGAGUGUAUAAGCACAAGUAAUAAAAGAGAAGAGAAGUUGGGCAUAAAAAAUCUUUAAACUUUUAUACCUUAAAGGAUACCUUCAAAAAAGUAGAAGCCAACCACAGAAUGAGAGAAAAAUGUUUGCAAAUUAGAUAUCUGAUCAGAAACUUCUAUCCAGGAGGGAUUGUGCCUUUGAGCUCCUGAAAAUCUCAAAGGUCACCAUUACUCCUGAAAGGGAUUAGAGAGUUACAUGCAUAAUACUUCUUGGGAUUUCAAAAGAUUACAACUCAAUAAUAAAGACAAAUGACCCAGCUGGAAAAAAAAAAAAAAAAGGCAAAUGAUUGAAAAACAAUU